AUAUAUAUAUAUAUAUAUAUAUAUAUAUAUAUAUAUAUAUAUAUAUAUAUAUAUAUAUAUAUAUAUAUAUAUAUGCAUCAGUGUCCUCAAACGUCGUUUUCAAUUGUCUCUGGCAGCAGCAGAGAGUAGCACGACAUUGUUUUUUUCUCAUCCACACAUGCACAUAACAUACGCCAUUCCCUUAUAUGUAUAUUUUUGAUUGAUAAAAGUUAAUAUUUUUUUCGGGCAUCAGUCUUAUUUUCACUGCACUGUGUUUGCCAUUUUUUCCCUUGGACUGCCUCUCUGGACCUCUAAGGUAUACACACACACAUACAAAGAAGAGGCUGUAUGGUGGCGUUCAGCAUACACGAUCUUCCUAGAGUCGGCAUGAGUAGUGUUCCGUAGGGUCGCUCCUGGCCACCUCGAGUCGUUACCAAACACUGUAACCGUAAUACUAAGACUACUACUCCUAGCCACGUAACGCAGCGCUGUGCCGGCGGAACGGCUCGCCCUACAGCGGUCACUCGGUUAUCCGGAACGGCGGCUCGGCAGCUCCAGGCGCGUCUCGUGGCUUCCUGGUGGUGCACUGGUUCAUUCAUUGAUAAUGCUAGUCGGCACACCGAGGAAGGGCGCCGACAGCAGGGCUUGGCAGCCCGCACCACGUGGCGCCGCGGCCGUGCACCCGCGGCCGCCUAACGAAAACCUUCCUGCCGCGGCCUGACCGCUGCGUCACGGAGCCACUCUACUCUCAGUGGGGAGAACAAUCUCCAAAGCUGCUUGACAAUGUUUGUUAUACAACCUUGUUCACAUUUAACAGAAAAUAGUCGCAGCAGAAAAAAAGGGGUGGAGACAAAACAGGUGGAGAUCAAUUUCAGAAUGAGCAUAAUGACCUCACCACUGCCAUCAGCAUCUCCUCAGCUUCCCUCCCGCGCCGUGACGAUCAGCUAACACGUACAAAUGUUUUAUGUAAUUUUUGAGGCGGGUCCAGACGGUAAGGAGACGAAAAGUGCUGAAUUCUGCGCCUUAGAGAGAACUCCGAAACAGCGAGGUUAAUUCCAGGAUAAUAAAUAAUAAUUUCCCUUUUGAGAGAAGUCAUAGAAGCAAUAGGAACGGAAUGUUUCACACUUCUUUGGCAGGUUGCCUGUUGGCGAUAGGCGGAGAAACAGGACGUGAGGCACUCCACAGGUCAGCCAGUGUUCUGCCUCCCUGAUCAGUAACGGCUUGGCAGUGCGGGGAAGGCGUUCGUUGUUAGCCCACAGUAGGUGUACAGUAUUACUUCCGAGUUUAGUUUUCCUUUUGUUGGUAAGGAGAAGCCGAGUUCAAUUAACAGAGUGACCUUUGUAAAGAAUUGUUGCAUUACAUUAGGGUUACAAAUUACAAAUUAUAUACCUACGUUACGAUAUCGACGCUGAGGGACGUUCGUGAAGCAUCGGACGUUGUAUACUAGUCACGAGUUUAUAUUUUAUCAGCAACGGAGUUUAUGGCUGAUUCUAAAUGACAGGACCGCAUUGUUCUGAGGAAGUCUCGACUUUCAUUAAGAUUAAUCUUCCCCGUCUGCCUGACAACCUGAGGGAUUACAGUGUAGCCCCUCUGAACUAUAAAAGUAACCCAGCCCCGACAGGUGGAAGGCGAGAGUCGACACUUUACUCAGAUGAAGUCCUAUUGCUCAGGACGGCCCGUAUUAUUUGUGUCCAUGAGGCUGACAAUCAGAGGCUGCCAGGGCCCGCGCGCUCACCCUGACCCGCACCUCUACGUAGAGGCGCAGGUUGGGGUCAGCGCGGGUUCAGUGUUUACGUGAGCAGUUUCCAGUUUCCCGGGUAUGCCGCCGUGUUAGUGUUGCAUCUUCAAGCGUGUGGGUGCACGAGAUCAGAUGAAGUGCUAUUCUGUGGUAUACAAUUUCAGGACAGGCUGUGCUCACCAAGGGGAGAGGAGUGUGGCCAACGCAGGGCAUUCAUUCAACAAAAAGAAAAACAUAUUUGUAUGGGGUAGACUCACAAUUCAUCCGUCACGCGAGUCUGUGACCGUGAAUGAUCCGAGGAAAAUUUUCUUAACGAAUAUGGUGAGUCAAGAAAAGGAAUGUCCUCUUUAGUCGAGUAGAUUCUGGAGGACAUUAUUUUCUUACUCUCCUCCAUAUUUAUUCAAGAAAAACUUUGCCACACCAUUAACGGUUAUAAACUCGCGUAUAGAUGAAUUGUGUUAGUCUAGAGCGAAUACAAAUAAUGUAAGUAAACGAAUGAGAUGUUCUCUAUUCUCCUCUGCAGUGUACGUAAAUGCAGCUUUUGGUUGAAUAGUUAUGACUGAAGUAAAAUUGUGGUAUACCAGUUAAGGAUAGGCUGAUAGGAGUCUGGACAAUAGACGACUUUAUUCACUACAGAAAAAUUUACUUGUACAGGCUAGACUAUAGUUCUACAGACGAAUGUUCACCGACUACGUGAGUUUGACCGUAAGUGAUCUGAGGAUGUCCCUCGGAUCAUUCACGGUCAAACUCACGUAGUCAGUGAAUGAUCCGUGGAAUAGUCUGGCCCGUUGAAGUGAGUGAAUAAGUUUACAUAGUCCAGACUACUGUUCCGACUGCGCCGUGUAUGUAAACGCAGGUUUUUGGUUGAAUAAUUCAUUUACUGUUCUGUGUCACUACUAAUUGUAGGUUUUGUAAAUGCUGUGUUUGUUGUAAAGUCCAUUAAAAUUUAUCAUCGCA